rnacentral:tRNA from 1 species
GGUGGCUCAGUGAUAGAGCAUUUGCCUUGCAUGCAUGAGGCCUUGGGUUCGAUUCCUCAGCACCA